rnacentral:snoRNA from 1 species
UGCAGUCAAGGCAAAUUCAGUUUCCAUCCAGUCAUGGUGGGAGGUGGCCAAGAUGGCUACCACAGUAACUGCUGCUGCUUAUGUCCCUGGGACCUGGGGAUAAGUUUGGCCACAGGCAUUU